rnacentral:rRNA from 1 species
GAUGAACGCUGGCGGCGUGCCUAACACAUGCAAGUCGAGCGAUUCUCUUCGGAGAAGAGCGCCGGACGGGUGAGUAACGCGUGGGUAACCUGCCCUGUACACACGGAUCACAUACCGAAAGGUAUGCUAAUACGGGAUAACAUAAGAAAUUCGCAUGUUUUUCUAAUCAAAGCUCCGGCGGUACAGGAUGGACCCGCGUCUGAUUAGCUAGUUGAUGAGGUAACGGCUCACCAAGGCGACGAUCAGUAGCCGACCUGAGAGGGUGAUCGGCCACAUUGGAAAUGAGACACGGUCCAAACUCCUACGGGAGGCAGCAGUGGGGAAUAUUGCACAAUGGGCGAAAGCCUGAUGCAGCAACGUCCGCGUGAGCGAUGAAGGCCUUCGGAUCGUAAAGCUCUGUCCUCAAGGAAGAUAAUGACGGUAUCUUGAGGAGGAAGCCCCGGCUAACUACGUGCCAGCAGCCGCGGUAAUACGUAGGGGGCUAGCGUUAUCCGGAUUUACUGGGCGUAAAGGGUGCGCUAGCCGGUCUUUUUAAGUUCAGGAGUGAAAGGCUACGGUUCAACCGUAGUAAGUCUCUUGAAACUGGAGGACUUGAGUGCAGGAGAGGAGAGUGGAAUUCCUAGUGUAGCGGUGAAAUGCGUAGAUAUUAGGAGGACACCAGUAGCGAAGGCGGCUCUCUG